UACGUAGGGGGCGAGCGUUGUCCGGAUUUAUUGGGCGUAAAGAGCUCGUAGGCGGUUUGGCAAGUCGGGUGUGAAAACUCCGGGCUCAACUCGGAGACGCCACUCGAUACUGCCAUGACUCGAGUCCGGUAGGGGAGUGCGGAAUUCCUGGUGUAGCGGUGAAAUGCGCAGAUAUCAGGAGGAACACCGGUGGCGAAGGCGGCUCGCUGGGACGGUACUGACGCUGAGACGCGAAAGCGUGGGGAGCAAACAGG
rnacentral:rRNA from 1 species